UGUAGGAAGAAGAGUGAUGCGGAUUUGUUAUAGACUUGUUAUACUGACGCGGAAUCUCGUUGUGCAACCUGCUUUUGAAAAUCUGUAUCUAAAUAUAAAAGCUGUCCCCCGUUUGUAUUGGAUGUACUGGAGGGACAAUUUAGCAAUGUAGAAAAAUAAUAUUGAGGGGUAAUUUUUUACUUUCUUCUUCUCCGGAAGCCUCAUAGAAAAUGACUUGAAAAGACCUUGGGAAAGAUUUGCAGCUGAGAUCAAUUUUCCGUUGCGAAACCAAGACGAUGCAGAAUUGAACAAAGUUAGGGAAGAUUUACAGUUGAGAUCAGAUUUCUACACGAGUGUUGGUUUCCCAACUGAGUUCCUUAGAGAAACUAAGCAAAAGCUGGGAUAUUGGAGGAAUGCAGAGGAAAAUUUGUUUUCGGAUCCACGGAGGGCCCUCACGCCUCAUCGUCUUGGUUUCCCAACUUAGUUCCCGUAGAGAAAUUAAACCAUUAGAGAAAUACCGGGUCUUGGUUUCCCAACUAAGUUUCCUUACGAGUUCGACUCAUUCGACUCCUUCUCUGCUCUCAUUUCCUCUGUUUAAUCUGUUUUUGGGUCCACUGAGACUGAGAGCAGUGACGAGGAUGAGUUUCUAGCUGGGUUGACUCGCGGACUCAUUCACUCAACAAGUCAAAAACUCACUGUUCUUAGCCUUUCCCUGGACAAAAACGAGACCUUUCAACCACGUUAAGUUGAGAGACAAUGAGUUGACCCUAACAAUGUGACUUCAAUCAUAUUGGGAGGAGGUGCAGGGACUCCUCUUUCCACUUACCAGAAGGAUGGCUACACCUGCUGUUCCAGUUAGAGAAUGCUAUGAGCUGAUAGACAUUCCAAUGCUACAAGAUCUCUUUGUUUUGACCCAGUUCAACUCAGCUUCCAUCAAUUGGCACCUUGCAUGCACAUAUUAUGACAAUGGUAUCAAUUUUGGGGAUGGGUUUGUGGAAGUAUGAAAUCAUUAAGGUUGAUAAAGGAUCAAUUUGCAACUUUCUACUGAUUUCGCAAGUAGAGUAAGAUGGCUAGCAGAAGAUUUUGUAUCAAAAGAAGAGAAAGAAUUUCUUAAUUAAAUUUUCUGUUGAAUAUUGAUGAUUAAUCUAGAAACACAGAAUUAACUGUGAUUUUUUCUUGAAGAUAGAAAGAAAGCCUCAUCUUCUUUGUCAGCUUAAUUAGUGCAAAACUCAAGUUAAACCUUUUUUUAAGGAAUUCUGGUGUCCAAUCAUAUAUGAUCUGUAGUAAUUUUAUUAAGGGUUCAUUCAUCAUUAAAUUACAUGACAAAACUCACUCGGUCAACAGGUUUUGGCCACCACUCAGACGUCAAGAGAGGCAGGGAAGAAGUGGCUCCAAGGAAGCGCAGAUGCUGUGAGGCAAUUUAUAUGGAUAUUUAAGGUAGGAAUUGAAAGGUUAUUUCUCUUUCUCAUGUCAUCUCAAACAGGAACUAAUAAAAAUGGGUGGGAAUUCAUGAAAAUAUACUGAUCUUGUGUGGAGAUCAUCUCAUUGAAUGGAUUAUAUGGAAUUUCUACAGGUAUUGAUUACUUUGACUUAAUUGGUCUUAUUUUUUUUUUGGCAUUGCUAAAAGCUUAAGUAACUUAUUUGCAAUGCUUGACAGAGUCACAUUAACAGUAAUGCUGAUAUUACAAUUUCACGCAUUAUGGUGGACAACAGGUCUUUUGAUCUUCUCUCAUCUUAAUAAUGUAGUUUUUAAGUUGUAUAUAUACUUUCUCUAAUUGUUCCCUACUAGUACAAGUUCCAUGGUUUAUAGUCACGUGAAAGGACUGUUUCAAGUUCCAGGUUUUGUUGAGAAGAAGGAUAAGCAUGACCAGGAACAUGGAGAUCAUCAUUGGUUGAACAUGGAAGAUGAUGAUGAUGAUGUGACUACAACUUCUGAAUCAUCCCUAGGGGAAUAUUCAAGAACUUCUCAGGGAUCAAUAGCUUCUUCAUCAGACUUGGAAGAUGAUGCAUCUUCAUCAACCUGAAAUUCUUCUUCGACGGCCAAUUAUAUUAAUGGACCUUUAUAUGAAUUGUCAGAGCUCAUGGCCCAACUUCCCAUCAAGUAAAUAUAGGUGAUAUGCUCCCUUAAUAGUAAUGGAAGACCAUGUUGUGAAGAUUUCAAAACCAAUUAAUAGAUAAAUCUUCUUAUCUUCUUUUGCUCUUGAAGUUGUUAAUAUCCAGAUUUAGAAUUUUCUGAAUUAUGAAUUUUCCUGGGUAUCGUUGGAUAUAACAUGAAGCAUAUAAAGCAUAUGAAGAUGCAUGAAAUACUUCUGGGAACUGAAAUACUUAUCAAAGUUUUGUUUGGGUUUUUAGCAUUUGCUGCUAUUGUUGCAUCUUUGGUGUUGGGAUCUAAUAUUAGGAGAAAGGGAAUUGCAUCAAAGUAUUUUUCUCUGAUGGUUAAGCAUUCAACCAAACCUGUUGUGAAGGAGAAACCAAGUUUGGUGCUUCUUGCUGAGAGAGAGGAGCACAAAAUGCAUGUUAAUUCCUUUUUGAGCACCAUGCCAUGCCUUUGAUUAUCUCUGCGGACAAAGAUAUUAAAGAAACUUACCAAAGCCUAGCACUUUAGUUGAGUUGCUUGAUGAGUUUGAGAUGGGAGCAAUUAGCAGCUCUCUUAAAGAGUUGUACUAUAAAAAGCAGAAUGAAAGAUGAAGUGAGCAACUAUUUUGAUUUUUUGGAAAAGAUUUAUUCAGCUCCAGUUCAGGAUCAACAAGAUUUCUCCGGAUUUUAUAUUGUCAAUUCGAGUUCAUCUGAAUUGGAAUAACUAUUCUAACAAAGCACCUUUGUUUUAAGCUUUUUGAAUUGGAAUCUUAUUGUGUUUGUGUUGCAACAGACAGGAAUGGAUGGAGAAGAGAAGAAUAACAUGGACACAACUCACAUUGAGGCGAUCAGCCAGAAUCCACGAUUGUGCAGUUGCAUCUCCAUGAAGGCAGUGAAGACAUUGAUAUUCUUAAAGUUGAGCCCAUCAGAAAAAGCAUCUUUGUUUUUUCAUAUAUGUGGCACCCACUUUCCAGGAAACUAAUGUAGAAUUAGAAUUUCGCUGUCUAAUGCCUCAUUCUGACUGUAGAUCUGUUCCUAUUCUAAUCUUUACGAAUUGAUCAAUAUUGUAAGACAAAUCAUCUGUUGCAUUAUCUUUUAACAAUCACUUUAUCACCUUUAUCAUCUUAAUUUAUGUUUCUUAUCCUUCUUAGUAUCUUCUUCCAGAUAUGCUUUCUUGGCCUCCAUCUACAUCAUAUUCUUAUUAUAAUUUAUCUUUGAGUAUUAAUGCACCAAUAGU